rnacentral:lncRNA from 1 species
GAGUGAGCACCGUAUGCUGUGUUGAAGCCGCUUCUAAAGACACAUCAUCUCCACACUAAAGACAAAGACACAAUGCGUUUACAGUCAAGAGGAAAAAACUCUUAUGUUUAUUAGCCAUGAAUUUCACAUUGUGAAAAAAAUCACAUGUACAAAAUAAUGCCAUAAAAAAUAGAAAUCAAACUCUUACAUGACAGAAAAAAUGAAACUGAUGCACAUCGACAGUGUUUUCUGUCUAAUUUUACAUCAUUAUGCGAAGCAAGAUACUGUGCUCCAAUCUGAGCCAGCUGGAUUUCCAGAUAAAACGGAGGAUAAACGGAGGGCAAGAGUAGAAAUGGGAAGUGCCACUCGGCAAUUAGGUGCAAAUUGAAGGAGCAUUCAUUACUUGCUGUUGCCAGGGAAACUUGCGCUCUAUGGGAAAGCAAUGCUCCUAUCUGAUUGGUGGGGCCAAGAGGCCCUAUGCUCAGUGGUUGGAGGAGGUCAACAUUAUGGAGCCCCGAGGGUCUCCAUUGAAAUCCUGAAAUUGCCAAUAAGAGGAUGAACUAUUCGGUGGCUUAAGGAGCUGAGCAGAGCUGUUUACCAGUUGAUCCCCACAGAUUUGAUUUGUGUCAUGAAUCCACAAGGAAGGAUUCCAAAGAAUAAGGAAUAUAGAACAUAACCUUUUACAUUGAAUUCAAUGAUCCCAUUAAUAUUCAAUUGUAAAACGUCAAUGUCCAGGUCACUUAUAGACAGACAUACAGACAAAAACACUGAUUCGAGUUACAAGUAUUACAUAUGCAAGUGUUUAAGACAUUCUCUCUUUUUGGUCUUUAGGAACUUGCAAUGUUAUUUUUUUACUUUUCUUUAUGUGCAUUAUUGACACUAUGGUGAAAAGCACUGCGGUGUCUGCCCUUAUCAAUGCACAGCUUCCUGGUUUCAACUCUUUCUCAACCUAAUGGUGAAGAAGACUGUGGGUUAACACCCCGAAGAGCCAAGUUAGCACAUGUGACAGGCUACUGGGUCACAUACUGCACUGUUCCAGGUCUUAUGGCCUUCUUGUUAGUUGGUACAGUUUGUGUCCCCCGACGGGACGAUUUAAGACAGGUUCGGCCCCAGGUGAGCGCUCCAAGAGAACCUAUCAGAAGUAAAAGUGAACAUUUCUUUCAACCCCAUUCAGUCUUCUUAUUUGGGCAGCGGCUCUGUGGCCUAAACUAAACUAAGCUGCGUCACACCAUCAGUAAUCCGAGCCAUUCUUCGUCUCCCAUCCAUACUCUUUUUACUUUUAAAAGAACAAGUUCCUCCUGGGAAAGACUGAAUUGUGCAAAAUGCGGCCCAACUGAGAUCAAAUAAAGCACAACACCUGGCCAUGCAUGACAUAACCCGAACAUACAUUCACAAAAGAAUGCAGGCAGAGAAGAAAUAAAUAGGAUUAAACAUAUUAACAGAGUAAUCAUUGUCAUAUAAAUUAAGACUACAUUGCAGCAAGUUUAAAAAAAGAAACUGAUUCAUUCUCAGUUUUAGAUUUAAGGUGACAAGAUUUCUGUGACCACAGAAAGAGUUCAUGCCAGUUUUACUGAAUCACUAUGAGUGGACAUGCUCUACAAAGGGUUCAGCUAUGACUCAGCAAGCGAGCAACUGCUUUUAUCAGAAUAACAGAAGCACAGCCGGUCUUUUACUGCAUUAAGUGUACGGCUGAAUGUGAAAGUGUUCUUUCUGAAGCGCCAAAUCACUGAAUAGGUUAGUUAACCAGCGCUCAGUGGGCAUUAAUGCUUAGCUGCGAAACAGCAAACGUGUAAGGUCGUGACCCCGGGGCGCCUCACCCCUCCCCUCGGCCACGCACAGAUCCCCUCAAUCCUCCUCGACCUCAGCUGGUGUUGGUCAUCAACACCUCGUGGCUUGCAGUGACAGCAAACUGCCAAAGCCUUCGUAAGAGACACACUUAAAAGGUUAGAAGCACGUCUUUGAAAGAAGGAAAAAGAAAAGAUACAAGGGGUUAAACAAAAGAGCUUAUUAGAGGAGAGAAGGGGGAGAUUUGCUCCUUCAUUGUGCCUUUUAUAAGUCAGCUGUAUUCAGUCGAACUGAGUUCUUUAGCACACCAAUCAUUGCAUUCUCCCUCAAUCUAAGUAGAACAUCCAUCAUGCUAAACAUUGCAGCCUCGAUGAAAAUAGUUUAUUUUUUUCUUCUUUUUUAUCAUGGAGAAAAAGCCUGCCGUGACUAAAUAGGAAAAAUGCAGGUUGUGUGAUAUUUUUGCAGUCCUCAUACGGCAGCAUGAAAGCACAAGCCUGAUACGCCAGAUAUACACAAGGUGGUGGUUUGUGCCUCAUAUAACAAGCAGCAGUUUGUUUGGUUUGUUUGCGUGAACUACUGUGCUGAAUGCCUUAGCUUCGCGGGAAUGAGGGACGACAUAGUUCCAGUAAAAGUGUCCAGCUUUUUGUCCAGUUUCUGCAUCUUUGCAACAUCAAGAUGAAUGCGGGUGGCUGUACAUCACUGCUCAGUUUCUCUUUUAGAGGAAGAUAAUGUUUGCUUCUUCACAGUUGGAGUCCAGUAGAUGAUGCAAAACAGGGAAAUCUGAGGAAGAGAGAAGAAUAACUCGUUAAACGGGCAGGAAAGACACCUGGAAGCAAACAACGCUCAACGGUUUAAAGGUGACUUUCGAAUAUUCAAAGUGAAAAGGAAUAAAAAAAAAAAACAGAAAAGAAUACACUUCUAGAGAAACAAGGCUCCUUGAUCAGUAUGCCUGUUAGAUAAUUACGUUACUGACUUAUCGUAC